CUGAUAUGCUCUGGCAUAUUUCUAGAACCCUCAUAAUUUGCUACCCCACAUUAUUGAAUUGGAAGAAGAUUUAAUAAGGUAUAAUCAUAUGAGGGCAGUUAACAAAAUAUGCUUUAUAAAACAUCAUGAUGUAAACUAAUACAACUUCUAUCAGGACACAAGGGACAUGGCGGAAGCCUUGAGACUGGAGGAAAGAAAGCCAGAAUUUUCUCUAUGCAGGUCCCAUCAGGCGUCCACGUGGGCAGUGAAGGAGUCCACCUCCGUCUCCUUUUCCAGAACAUCCAUCAUAUGGCUUUAAGAGCUUCAGGCCAUGAUUCCCCAGGAGCAGGUACAGGCUCACCAAAAUCUGGCUUUGAGGACCAGAGGAAUCAAAGAUUGAUAUUGGAAACUUUAAAGCAACGAAGCUCUAAGGAUGAGAGAAAUAGACGCCUAAUGCAGAGGAUGGGAUUCCUAUUGUUUCAAACGGCACUACAAGCAAUAAAGAGAGAUCUAUUGGCUGAAAGGGAAGCUUGGUUGUGGAAACCUUCUUGGCACAGAAAAAAAGCCAGAAUAAGACUGAAAAGAGAAAUUUAAAAUUGUGUAAUGGAGUAAAGGCAACGUUGAUUUAUGGACAGUUUUAAGGAUUAAGAUUCAGAGUUAGAAGUAAGAAAAAAGGUUGAUUAUUAGAACAGAUGUUUUAAUUAGAUUAAUAAUGUACUUUUUGGAAUAAUAGGUUUAUUUUCAUGAAAAUUAUUAUUUAUUGGAAUGGAAAAAAAUGCUGGCUUUUUAGAGUUGGAUUGUUUUAAUAAUUAAUUGUUUAAAAUUAGUAAG